rnacentral:rRNA from 1 species
UACGAAGGGGGCAAGCGUUGUUCGGAAUUACUGGGCGUAAAGGGCGCGUAGGCGGCUUAUCAAGUCAGGCGUGAAAUUCCCGGGCUCAACCUGGGGGCUGCGCUUGAUACUGAUUGGCUUGAAUGCGGGAGAGGAUAGUGGAAUUCCCAGUGUAGAGGUGAAAUUCGUAGAUAUUGGGAAGAACACCGGUGGCGAAGGCGGCCCUCUGGACGGAUACUGACGCUGAGACGCGAAAGCGUGGGGAGCAACAGG